AUUGAACGCUGGCGGCAGGCCUAACACAUGCAAGUCGAGCGGUUGAGGUAGCUUGCUACCGAUGCAGCGGCGGACGGGUGAGUAAUACAUGGGAAUCUGCCUGGUAGUGGGGGACAACGUUUCGAAAGGAACGCUAAUACCGCAUACGCCCUACGGGGGAAAGGGGGGGAUCGCAAGACCUCUCGCUAUCAGACGAGCCC
rnacentral:rRNA from 1 species